GAGAAACAAAGGAGCGAUUUCAUUGGACAGAAUUUCGUAAUUGUGUAAGGAAAGUCGUUAAACUGGAUAAACAGGUAGUUCUGAUAUUUCCUUGUGUUCUGAGAUCAAAUCACUAACUUUAACGUUCCGUUAAAAAGCCAGCGUUUUCGCAAUGUUUUACUGUCAUUCAUCCAAAAGACGAGUCUUCUACUACGCUUUAAACUGACCAUGAGAUGAUGCCUGGCUUGACAGUCUGAACUUUUGAUUGCUGGGUGGAUGAGAAGGUGAAUCAUCCAUUUCAAUGAAUACAGAGACAAUUGAGGAUCCUGUGAGGUCGCAGUUCAGCUGGCUACCAAUGGUGCUCCCGUAGUGGGUGAGAACAAGCUAUCUCUUCAGUGCAGUUUGCAGAUAAUAUCCUUGUAAGGCCUGGCAGAAAAAAGAUUUAAGUAUUUAAUAAUUUUUUGACAUUAUACAAGUGUCCUGGACCUGGAUGACGCAAACAUGUUGCUGUGAAAAUAUUUUCCAAAAUAUUAUUUAUUUCAGUUUUAAGGGAUGUUUUAGCAUAGUAGAAUAUACAGGUGUUGAGAUUAAGAACAGACUUAUGUAACCUACAGAGGAAAAAAUGAAUUGCUUAGGUUUUAGGAGGAUGAAUUUGAAUAAUACAUUUGCUUCUCCAUGUGGGUCAAACAAGUCAGUAGCAUGUCAGAAAGUGGAGUACUGCUGAUUUAAAUCUUCCAGGGAUCCCUCCAACCCCAAAGAAGUAAUGCUGACCUACAUACAGUUUCUUCAGGCCUUGCUGCAGUAAUAAUGCAUUUUUCCAAUAAAUUCAUACCUCAAACCAAAUAUAUUACCAGUUCACUGAGGAAAUAUGUUUGAAUCUGUAACAGGAGGUCCACCCACUAUUCUGAGUGUACUUUAAACCCACAUUUACAUCUGCUGCAUAAAGUGAUCAAAGAGCACCCAAUACCCUCAUUAUAGUGAGUAAAGAGAGCCUUCUUCACAGUCACCUAUGCUGACACUAACCGCAUUGACUGUUAAUGCACCAGGCCACUUAUUUGUUCUACAGUAGAACUGUUUUUUCUUACCUCUGUAAGUAUUUGGAUGAGUUAUAGUAUAAAAUUGUACAUUGUUGCGUUGCAUCCUUCUGCUAUUGAAUUUAUUGCGUUAGCUCAAACUUCACUGGAAGAAUAUAAUUUAAGGAUAUAAUUUGUUAGGUUAAUUUACAGGUAAAAUAUUGUACUCUAAACUGGUGUUAUCCUUCACAGUGAUGUGCUUUAAUCAAGCAGGCACUUUGUUUGAGACAACAUAGAAGAAGUAAAGAAAAACACCAUCCAACAUUUAUUAUCUCAAACAGGAAAUUGGAACUGAGGAACAGAUAAAUAAUAUUAGUAAUUUUAUAUUUUACUUCAAUUCUAUACUAGAUUUGAGUUGACAUUUGGUUUCUGUGAGAGGUAGUGAUUCUGUAUCACAGGUAAAGUUUGUUUUUAGAACUAGAUAAAUGCAUGGAAAUCUGUGAUGUACAUGUGUAGCACAGCCUGCGUGAGACACGUGCUGUAUUGUCCACUCAUGCAGGCAGGCAUGGGUUAAAUCGAAAGCUUUGAGUCUCCUCUCAGCUCUACUAAAUGAGUUGGUGUAGGGGUGCGAUCUUUCGUGAUAGACUGCUCAGUCUCCCAUUCCCUGGAGUCUGAUGGCCUCAUAAUGGGCUCAUAUGCAAAGAAGAUGCCUAAUUUGAGUCUGUCUUUCAAUUCCAUCCUCAUUCUCACUUGAUGCCCUCUGACAAAAGAC